UGCGUAGGCGGUUUUGUGUGUCAGAUGUGAAAGCCCAUGGCUCAACCAUGGAAUUGCAUUUGAAACUGCAAAACUCGAGCAUCGGAGAGGUAGAUGGAAUUCUAGGUGUAGCGGUGAAAUGCGUAGAUAUCUAGAAGAACACCAGCGGCGAAAGCGAUCUACUGGACGAAUACUGACGCUGAGGCACGAAAGCCAGGGGAGCGAAGA
rnacentral:rRNA from 1 species